rnacentral:rRNA from 1 species
UGAUCCUGGCUCAGGACGAACGCUGGCGGCGUGCUUAACACAUGCAAGUCGAACGAUGAAGAGGAGCUUGCUCCUUGGAUUAGUGGCGAACGGGUGAGUAACACGUGAGCAAUCUGCCCUUGACUCUGGGAUAAGCGUUGGAAACGACGUCUAAUACCGGAUACGACCCUCGGAGGCAUCUCCUGGGGGUGGAAAGAAUUUUGGUCAAGGAUGAGCUCGCGGCCUAUCAGCUUGUUGGUGAGGUAAUGGCUCACCAAGGCGACGACGGGUAGCCGGCCUGAGAGGGUGACCGGCCACACUGGGACUGAGACACGGCCCAGACUCCUACGGGAGGCAGCAGUGGGGAAUAUUGCACAAUGGGCGAAAGCCUGAUGCAGCAACGCCGCGUGAGGGACGACGGCCUUCGGGUUGUAAACCUCUUUUAGUAGGGAAGAAGCGAAAGUGACGGUACCUGCAGAAAAAGCACCGGCUAACUACGUGCCAGCAGCCGCGGUAAUACGUAGGGUGCAAGCGUUGUCCGGAAUUAUUGGGCGUAAAGAGCUCGUAGGCGGUUUGUCGCGUCUGCUGUGAAAACCCGAGGCUCAACCUCGGGCCUGCAGUGGGUACGGGCAGACUAGAGUGCGGUAGGGGAGAUUGGAAUUCCUGGUGUAGCGGUGGAAUGCGCAGAUAUCAGGAGGAACACCGAUGGCGAAGGCAGAUCUCUGGGCCGUAACUGACGCUGAGGAGCGAAAGCAUGGGGAGCGAACAGGAUUAGAUACCCUGGUAGUCCAUGCCGUAAACGUUGGGAACUAGAUGUGGGGACCAUUCCACGGUCUCCGUGUCGCAGCUAACGCAUUAAGUUCCCCGCCUGGGGAGUACGGCCGCAAGGCUAAAACUCAAAGGAAUUGACGGGGG